rnacentral:rRNA from 1 species
GAUGAACGCUGGCGGCGUGCCUAAUACAUGCAAGUCGAGCGAACAGACGAGGAGCUUGCUCCUCUGACGUUAGCGGCGGACGGGUGAGUAACACGUGGAUAACCUACCUAUAAGACUGGGAUAACUUCGGGAAACCGGAGCUAAUACCGGAUAACAUGUUGAGCCGCAUGGUUCAACAGUGAAAGACGGUUUUGCUGUCACUAUAGAUGGAUCCGCGUCGCAUUAGCUAGUUGGUAAGGUAACGGCUUACCAAGGCAACGAUGCGUAGCCGACCUGAGAGGGUGAUCGGCCACACUGGAACUGAGACACGGUCCAGACUCCUACGGGAGGCAGCAGUAGGGAAUCUUCCGCAAUGGGCGAAAGCCUGACGGAGCAACGCCGCGUGAGUGAAGAAGGUCUUCGGAUCGUAAAACUCUGUUAUUAGGGAAGAACAAAUGUGUAAGUAACUAUGCACGUCUUGACGGUACCUAAUCAGAAAGCCACGGCUAACUACGUG